UCAGUAACGGCGAGCGAAGCGGGAAUAGCUCAAAUUUGAAAUCUCCGGUGCUUGCACCGGCGAAUUGUAGUCUGUAGGGCCAGUUUCGCCCGAGACGGUGUCCCCAAAGUCGUCCUGGAAAGGCGGGCCGGAGAGGGUGAGAGCCCCGUGCGCGGGGGCACCGUCGGAGGUAAGAUCUGUGCCCGAAGAGUCGGGUUGUUUGGGAUUGCAGCCCAAAAUGGGUGGUAAACUCCAUCUAAAGCUAAAUACUGGCACGAGACCGAUAGCGAACAAGUACCGUGAGGGAAAGAUGAAAAGCACUUUGAAAAGAGAGUCAAACAGUACGUGAAACCGUCAGGGGGGAAACGAACGAGGUUGGUGCAGUGAUCACGCAGGUUCAAGCACCGCCGAGGGUGCCGACGCGUGGACCGAGACGGUCCCGUGGCGUUUGUCCGAGGCGGUGCCGUACUCCUCGUGAACACGGACCAGCGGCGGUUGGACCGGAGCCACAAGGCGGCAGCGGAAGGUGAGUCGGCGUGGGUUCGUCCCGCGCGGACAGCUUAUAGCCCUGCCGUUCGGUGCUCCGGUGCGACCGAGGAAGAAGGGCAGCCCUUGCCCGUGGUGGUGCACGCCGUAUGGCGGGGCCUCCCGAUCCGAGUGAGCCGUGCGGUGUGGACUGCGUGCAGUGCUAAUCGUGGCGGCGAUCUCGGGUCGGAGAGCGUCACUUGUGCGCCAGUGCUGCUGGUACUCGGACGG
rnacentral:rRNA from 1 species